rnacentral:rRNA from 1 species
GACGAACCGUGCAAACGUUGUUCGGAAUCACUGGGCUUAAAGGGCGCGUAGGCGGCUUGCCAAGUCAGUGGUGAAAUCUCCGGGCUUAACCCGGAAACUGCCAUUGAUACUAUUUGUCUUGAAUACUGUGGAGGUCAGCGGAAUAUGUCAUGUAGCGGUGAAAUGCUUAGAUAUGACAUAGAACACCAAUUGCGAAGGCAGCUGGCUACACAAAUAUUGACACUGAGGCACGAAAGCGUGGGGAUCAAACAGG